rnacentral:rRNA from 1 species
AAGUNGUAACAAGGUUUCCGUAGGUACAAAUAGGUUUGCCUGCCGACACCUCUCGCAACGACGUUAAAAAACUGCGCGCUCUACGCCCUAUUGGCGUGGGCAACACCGUUCAAGUGCUGAGAAUGCCCGGCGAGAGCCCCGCACAACCAGCAGCCAGCAGUUAGUUACUGCCUGGUCCACAGAUCAAUCGACGGUGACCGUUAUCGGCUAAGUUAUGACCGGUCCAGAGCCCCAACGGGCCCUGGAGCCAUGGAACCUGCGGAAGGAUCAUUA